AUUGAACGCUGGCGGCAUGCCUUACACAUGCAGGUCGAACGGCAGCACGGGAGCAACCCUGGUGGCGAGUGGCGAACGGGUGAGUAAUAUAUCGGAACGUGCCCAGUAGUGGGGGAUAACUGCUCGAAAGAGCAGCUAAUACCGCAUACGACCUGAGGGUGAAAGGGGGGGAUCGCAAGACCUCUCGCUAUUGGAGCGGCCGAUAUCAGAUUAGCUAGUUGGUGGGGUAAAGGCCUACCAAGGCAACGAUCUGUAGUUGGUCUGAGAGGACGACCAGCCACACUGGGACUGAGACACGGCCCAGACUCCUACGGGAGGCAGCAGUGGGGAAUUUUGGACAAUGGGCGCAAGCCUGAUCCAGCAAUGCCGCGUGCAGGAAGAAGGCCUUCGGGUUGUAAACUGCUUUUGUCAGGGAAGAAAUCCUCUAGGUUAAUACCCUUGGGGGGAUGACGGUACCUGAAGAAUAAGCACCGGCUAACUACGUGCCAGCCGCCGCGGUAAAAC
rnacentral:rRNA from 1 species